GCCGUUGUAGCUCAGUUGGUAGAGCACGUCCAUGGUAAGGACGGGGUCCGCGGUUCAAUCCCGCGCAACGGCUCAA
rnacentral:tRNA from 1 species